GCUGAAUGAGCACGAUUGGUUGUGCAACUGAUUUGUAAUCAGUAGGUUGUGGGUUCGACCCCCACAUUCAGCU
rnacentral:tRNA from 1 species